CCAUUUUGAGAAAAGUGGAAAUAAAAGGAAAAACCUUUUAUGAUAACAUAAAUUGAACAGGCUAAUUUGCGCAAGAGAGUACAAAUUGAGUGCGCGGUUUGGCACCUCGAUGUCGGCUUAGCUCAUCCACAUGAAUGCAAAAAUCAUGAAGGGUUCGACUGUUCGUCGAUUAAAGAGCUACAUGAGCUGGGUUUAAUACGUCGUGAGACAGUAUGGUUUCUAUCUUCUAGAGGGAAUUAAAGUAUAAUAAAGAUAGCCCCUUCGUACGAAAGGAGUUGGGUAUAUUGACCUAUGGUUUACCUGUUGUUUAUGCUAUAUAUUAUAUAUUAUAUACUAUAUAAUAUAUCGUUUACUUAUACUUAAGUAAAUUGUUCACAUAGGCAUGGCAGGAAGGCUACGUCAGUUAAAGAUAAGUGCUGAAAGCAUUUAAGCGCGAAGCUUACUUUAGGAUACUUUUAAACGUAGUAGAACACUACGAGUAUAAUUGUUAUAACCCUUCGGAUAUAACGAUUAAUAGGCUUUAGUUGUAUUAAUUUUAAUAUUUUUAGACAUAAAGUACUAAUUAUUAAA
rfam:Neosartorya fischeri NRRL 181 1099437635775 genomic scaffold, whole genome shotgun sequence.